UACGUAGGUGGCAAGCGUUGUUCGGAAUUAUUGGGCGUAAAGGGCGCGUAGGCGGUUUGCUAAGUCAGUUGUGAAAACUCCAGGCUCAACCUGGAGACGCCACGUGAUACUGGCGUGACUAGAGUUCGGUAGGGGAUCACGGAAUUCCUGGUGUAGCGGUGAAAUGCGCAGAUAUCAGGAGGAACACCGGUGGCGAAGGCGGUGAUCUGGGCCGACACUGACGCUGUAGAGCGAAAGCGUGGGGAGCGAACAGG
rnacentral:rRNA from 1 species